rnacentral:rRNA from 1 species
UGGGGGAUAUUGCACAAUGGGCGAAAGCCUGAUGCAGCAACGCCGCGUGAGGGAAGACGGUUUUCGGAUUGUAAACCUCUGUCUUUGGUGAAGAAAGAAAUGACGGUAGCCGAGGAGGAAGCCACGGCUAACUACGUGCCAGCAGCCGCGGUAAUCCGUAGGUGGCAAGCGUUGUCCGGAAUUACUGGGUGUAAAGGGAGCGCAGGCGGGGAGAAAAGUCAGCUGUGAAAACUAUGGGCUUAACCCAUAAACUGCAGUUGAAACUGUUUUUCUUGAGUGGAGUAGAGGUAGGCGGAAUUCCGAGUGUAGCGGUGAAAUGCGUAGAUAUUCGGAGGAACACCAGUGGCGAAGGCGGCCUACUGGGCUCUAACUGACGCUGAGGCUCGAAAGUGUGGGGAGCAAACA